rnacentral:tRNA from 1 species
CGGCGCGUAGCUCAAGCGGAGAGAGCACCGCACUACGAAUGCGGAGGUUGAAGGUUCGAGUCCUUCCGCGUCGA